GGUUAAGUUAGAAAGGGCGCACGGUGGAUGCCUUGGCACUAGGAGCCGAAGAAGGACGGGACUAACACCGAUAUGCUUUGGGGAGCUGUACGUAAGCGUUGAUCCAGAGAUUUCCGAAUGGGGGAACCCACUAUCUUUAGUCGGAUAGUAUCCUUACGUGAAUACAUAGCGUGAGGAAGGCAGACCCAGGGACCUGAAACAUCUAAGUACCUGGAGGAAGAGAAAGAAAAAUCGAUUUCCUGAGUAGCGGCGAGCGAAACGGAAAGAGCCCAAACCAAGAAGCUUGCUUCUUGGGGUUGUAGGACACUCUAUACGGAGUUACAAAAGAAAGUUAUAAAUGAAGCGGUCUGGAAAGGCCCGCCAAAGACGGUAACAGCCCGGUAGUUGAAAUGGCUUUCCCUCCAGAGUGGAUCCUGAGUACGGCGGAACACGUGAAAUUCCGUCGGAAUCCGGGAGGACCAUCUCCCAAGGCUAAAUACUCCCUAGUGACCGAUAGUGAACCAGUACCGUGAGGGAAAGGUGAAAAGCACCCCGGAAGGGGAGUGAAACAGUUCCUGAAACCGUGUGCCUACAAGUAGUUAGAGCCCGUUAAUGGGUGAUAGCGUGCCUUUUGUAGAAUGAACCGGCGAGUUACGAUUUGUUGCAAGGUUAAGCGGAAAAAGCGGAGCCGUAGCGAAAGCGAGUCUGAAUAGGGCGCAUAAGUAACAGGUCGUAGACCCGAAACCAGGUGAUCUACCCAUGUCCAGGAUGAAGGUAAGGUAAUACUUACUGGAGGUCCGAACCCACGCACGUUGAAAAGUGCGGGGAUGAGGUGUGGGUAGCGGAGAAAUUCCAAUCGAACUUGGAGAUAGCUGGUUCUCUCCGAAAUAGCUUUAGGGCUAGCCUCGAGGUAAAGAGUCAUGGAGGUAGAGCACUGUUUGGACUAGGGGCCCUUCUCGGGUUACCGAAUUCAGAUAAACUCCGAAUGCCAUGU
rnacentral:rRNA from 1 species